AUUGAACGCUGGCGGCAGGCUUAACACAUGCAAGUCGAGCGGAGAUGAGGUGCUUGCACCUUAUCUUAGCGGCGGACGGGUGAGUAAUGCUUAGGAAUCUGCCUAUUAGUGGGGGACAACAUUCCGAAAGGAAUGCUAAUACCGCAUACGUCCUACGGGAGAAAGCAGGGGAUCUUCGGACCUUGCGCUAAUAGAUGAGCCUAAGUCGGAUUAGCUAGUUGGUGGGGUAAAGGCCCACCAAGGCGAGGAUCUGUAGCGGGUCUGAGAGGAUGAUCCGCCACAAUGGGACUGAGACACGGCCCAGGCUCCUACGGGAGGCAGCAGUGGGGGAUAUUGGACAAUGGGGGGAACCCUGAUCCAGCCAUUCCGCGUGUGUGAAGAAGGCCUUAUGGUUGUAAAGCACUUUAAGCGAGGAGGAGGAUACUGAGACUAAUACUCUUGGAUAGUGGACGUUACUCGCAGAAUAAGCACCGGCUAACUCUGUGCCAGCCGCCGCCGUAA
rnacentral:rRNA from 1 species